rnacentral:rRNA from 1 species
GACGAACGCUGGCGGCGUGCCUAAUACAUGCAAGUAGAACGCUGAAGGAGGAGCUUGCUUCUCUGGAUGAGUUGCGAACGGGUGAGUAACGCGUAGGUAACCUGCCUGGUAGCGGGGGAUAACUAUUGGAAACGAUAGCUAAUACCGCAUAAGGGUAGAUGUUGCAUGACAUUUGCUUAAAAGGUGCAAUUGCAUCACUACCAGAUGGACCUGCGUUGUAUUAGCUAGUUGGUGAGGUAACGGCUCACCAAGGCAACGAUACAUAGCCGACCUGAGAGGGUGAUCGGCCACACUGGGACUGAGACACGGCCCAGACUCCUACGGGAGGCAGCAGUAGGGAAUCUUCGGCAAUGGACGGAAGUCUGACCGAGCAACGCCGCGUGAGUGAAGAAGGUUUUCGGAUCGUAAAGCUCUGUUGUAAGAGAAGAACGAGUGUGAGAGUGGAAAGUUCACACUGUGACGGUAUCUUACCAGAAAGGGACGGCUAACUACGUG